rnacentral:rRNA from 1 species
UACGCAGGGGGCUAGCGUUGUUCGGAAUUACUGGGCGUAAAGAGCGCGCAGGCGGUCGUGCAAGUCGCGUGUGAAAGCCCCCGGCUCAACUGGGGAGGGUCACGCGAUACUGUUCGACUCGAAGGCAGGAGAGGGAAGCGGAAUUCCCGGUGUAGUGGUGAAAUGCGUAGAUAUCGGGAGGAACACCAGUGGCGAAGGCGGCUUCCUGGCCUGUUCUUGACGCUGAGGCGCGAAAGCUAGGGUAGCAAACGGG